UACGUAGGGAGCAAGCGUUUGUCCGGAUUUAUUGGGCGUAAAGAGCUCGUAGGCGGCUUAGAAAGUCAGGUGUGAAACCUCCAGCUCAACCUGGAGACGCCACUUGAUACUUCUAUGGCUUGAGUUCGGUAGGGGACCACGGAAUUCCUGGUGUAGCGGUGAAAUGACGCAGAUAUCAGGAGGAACACCGAUGGCGAAGGCAGUGGUCUGGGCCGAUACUGACGCUGAGGAGCGAAAGCGUGGGGAGCGAACAGG
rnacentral:rRNA from 1 species